rnacentral:lncRNA from 1 species
UUCCUGCCAACUAGAAAAGGGUGCCUCUUCCUCAAGACACUUUAAUGUCACUUGCUGGGGGAAAAAAAAAAAAGUUGUCACAAAAUAGAGAUGUUUUGAAAACAGACCACUCUACUUUAAGAAAUUUAGAUCUACCACGUGUAUACUGUGAACAGGGCCUCUAGAAGCAUAUAUCACAUAACCAACCCAUCCAAACAGAGCAGCCCUGUCAUUUAUCCUCCAAAACAUUUUUGAGUGUGCAGAUACUAUGUCCCCUUUCAAGGUUCAGAAAACGCAACAUCAUGAAAGUUCUGGGCUAUCUGAAACCACAGCCCCAUAGCCAUAAACUCCAGAAAAAUGAAUAUGUGGUCUUCCCAGGAUGGCCUGAAUUGGCCUGUCUCCUCUACCAUAUCACCCCAGACUCACCAUGAGAAUGAGAGCUCCCACAAAGAUUCCAUCUCCACCCCAAGGCAGGACAGCCAAAAGAAGCAACUGCCAUCAGGCAGCCAGACUAUAGUCAUUAGGCCACAUAGCAAAAAUGAGUGACCGCAUCUUAACAGGUUUAAUGAGAAACUACUGUACUUUUUCCUCACUCACCCAAGAUACUGUUUCCGAAAUGUCCCUCAGAACACUAGUCACAUGAGAUAACUCCAU